rnacentral:rRNA from 1 species
GUUGUAGUCUGGAGAAGUGCUUUCCGUGCUGGACCGUGUACAAGUCUCUUGGAACAGAGCGUCAUAGAGGGUGAGAAUCCCGUCUUUGACACGGACUACCAGUGCUUUGUGAUGCGCUCUCAAAGAGUCGAGUUGUUUGGGAAUGCAGCUCAAAAUGGGUGGUAAAUUCCAUCUAAAGCUAAAUAUUGGCGAGAGACCGAUAGCGAACAAGUACCGUGAGGGAAAGAUGAAAAGCACUUUGGAAAGAGAGUUAAACAGUACGUGAAAUUGCUGAAAGGGAAACGCUUGAAGUCAGUCGCGUUCGCCAGGACUCACCCUUGCUUUAGCUUGGUGCAUUUUCUGGUUGACGGGCCAGCAUCGAUUUUGGUUGUCGGAUAAAGGCAGGGGGAAUGUGGCAUCUUCGGAUGUGUUAUAGCCCUCAGUCACAUACGACAGCUGGGAUCGAGGACCGCAGCACGCCUUUAUGGCCGGGGUUCGCCCACGUUCGUGCUUAGGAUGCUGGCAUAAUGGCUUUAAACGACCCGUCUUGAAACACGGACCAAGGAGUCUAACAUGCCUGCGAGUGUUUGGGUGGAAAACCCGAGCGCGUAAUGAAAGUGAAAGUUGAGAUCCCUGUCGCGGGGAGCAUCGACGCCCGGACCUGACCUUUUGUGAUGGAUCUGCGGUAGAGCAUGUAUGUUGGGACCCGAAAGAUGGUGAACUAUGCCUGAAUAGGGUGAAGCCAGAGGAAACUCUGGUG